CGGUGGUAGACAGAGGCUAAGGAGCUAAGGUCUGGUGCUCGACUACCAGAGCUAGCUCCUACUGCGUAAAUGGAGAUGUGGCCCACAGUCUCUGAGCUUUGAUGACAUCAAGCAUUUGGACACUACUGUAAGCUUGUUGCAGACUUCGAUGUGGGGUCCUUAGGCUCAGUUCCCCAUGCUUGCUCAAGAGCUAUGGCCAUGGAUGAUGGACCUUUGCCCCCUUUGAAAGGUGUGGCCAUGCUUGUUUUGUGUUCUUCUUUCUUCCUCCAAGAAAAGAGACUGGAGAGUUUAGGAAGGUGAGUUAUGCUUCCUCUAUAUAUAUAUAAUGAGCAAUGAAAAUGUUUUUUGAAUUAAAGUUGUGUAUUUUGACCACUUUUCUAUUAUUUAGUUUGAAAUAGUUAGGUUUGAAGUU